GAUAUCGAAAAAGAAAAAUGUGGGAAUUGGUUCCUUCGCUUUCACACACUGUUUCUGUGAAGUUUAAAUUUCAGAUUCCAAAACCCAGAAAUUGUAUAACAAUAAGGCCAUGGAUGAACAAGUACAACUCAAUUCGAUGUGCCGGAAAAGUCAAUCGAUGGUCCCUUAAUGGCAUGAAUGCCCUUGUCACUGGUGGCACUAGAGGCAUUGGGCAUGCGAUAGUGGAGGAAUUGUGUGGACUGGGAGCCACUGUGCAUACGUGUGCCCGAAAUGAAGAUGAGCUUGGAACAUGUUUGAGGAGCUGGAAAGAUGAGGGCUUUACAGUGUCUGGUUCCUUGUGUGAUGUGUCUUCUCAAGUUGAUCGCCAAAAGUUAAUGGAGGUUGUUUCGUCUACAUUCAAUGGGAAGCUCGACAUUCUUAUAAACAACGCGGGGACUAAUAUUCGCAAAGCUAUGGUGGAUUUUACAGCUGAAGAGUUUUCCAGCCUCAUGGCAACAAAUUUUGAAUCUGUUUUCCAUCUGUGUCAGCUGGCCUAUCCCCUUUUGAAAGCAUCCGGGGCUGGAAGUGUUGUGUUCACUUCUUCUGUCUCAGGUUUUGUCUCAUUGAAAUCUAUGUCUUUACAAGGAGCAACAAAAGGAGCAAUUAAUCAACUUACAAAAAAUUUGGCAUGCGAGUGGGCUAAAGACAACAUCAGGAGUAAUGCUGUUGCACCUUGGUACAUCAAAACAUCCAUGGUGGAGCAAGUACUGAGUAAUAAAGAUUAUUUACAAGAAGUAUAUGACCGCACUCCACUGGGGCGCCUGGGAGAACCAUCUGAGGUUUCAUCUCUUGUGGGAUUCCUUUGUUUGCCUGCAUCUUCCUACAUCACCGGUCAGAUAAUCUGUGUUGAUGGUGGAAUGUCUGUAAAUGGCUUCUACCCUCACCAUGACUAGAGGAAUAACUGCCCAUAGAGUAAUGCUACAGAUUUGCAGGAGAAAAGUUUGUCGCGUGUGCAUCUCAAAUGCAUCAUUGGCUGGACAUUCCAUGAGUAGUGGAGAAGUUGCUUCUUAGCAGCAAUAUACACCCGAUGAGCAAUCGUUACAUUAUUGGAGGGCGUCUUAUGGACACAAGCUAACGUUGGAUGGAUGGAAGCAAUACAUGCGAUUAUCAACAAAAUUGUCCAAAAUAUGGGAAACCUUGCAAUUGUUGCUUGCAUUAUUAUAAGUAGCAAUGACUAUGAACUUUUUGAAAAUGGAUACAAGGGUGAGUAAGCAUCUUUCCACCCUUAGCCAUAUAUCGUGACAGUGAAGAUUUUACCAUAGUUGAGAUCAAAAUGAUCAAUGAACUGAGGACAGACAAUUUGUAUAGCCUCUUCUCUCUUUGUAUAAAAGCUAGAACACUACUGUCACUUGUAAGCCAACAAAGGUAAUUGUGUCAGUAAACAAGUAGACAAUAAAAUGAUAAAGAGAUGGAA